UAAACUACAAUCUAUUUUUCGUCAAUGGGAACAUGUACGUUUGAAUGAAGGAGAGCACAUCCAUCUCAUGAAGGAGUUGUUUGUUGGUUGUGAAAGCAUUGAAUGGCAGGUGGAUGAAUUGGAGGU